UCGUGCUAGGCGGGGAAUCAGCGGUACCCUGUACCUGCAAUCCGCUAUAGCAGGGCUGAAAGCCGUCUGAGAUUUUCCCAGGUAAUGCCUGGCUUUGUGCUUAAGCGUUGAGAUUUUGGUCCUGCGUAGGUAAGGCUUAUGAACCCCGUCAGAUCCGGAAGGAAGCAGCGGUAUAUAGGAUUCUUGCUUGCCGUAGGUAAGCUAAAAUGGAGCGGCGGCGUGAAGUUCAGUUUAUCUGGACAAAAGCGAAGAUGGAUGCACGA
rnacentral:SRP_RNA from 1 species